AGUGCAGCCCUCAACCCCAGCUGCCACCACUGGGGAAGCCACACCUGUUCUGGCCGUUCAACCUGCCACCCAGGUACCCCCUGCUGUCACCACACCACUGCCUAUGGGUCUCCAACAGUCACCGGCACAGCAGCCUCCACAGGCCCCUACUCCACAGGCGGCCACCCAGCCUCAGGCCACCCCUCCUCAGGCCAGUCCAGGCCUGGCAUCCAGCCCAGAGAAGAUAGUCCUGGGGCAGGCGCCCCCUGCGGCCACAACGGCCAUCCUCACUCAGGAUUCCCUCCAGAUGUUCCUGCCCCAGGAGAGGAGCCAGCAGCCCCUCUCUACAGAGGGUCCCCACCUCUCGGUGCCUGCCUCCGUCAUAGUCAGCGCCCCGCCUCCUGCCCAAGACCCAGCCCUGGCCACGCCCGUCACCAAAGGAGCUGGCCUUGGCGCUCAGACCCCCGACAACCGGGCUUCCCCAGCUCC
rnacentral:lncRNA from 1 species